rnacentral:rRNA from 1 species
UUGAACGCUGGCGGCGUGCCUAACACAUGCAAGUCGAGCGGUAACGCGGGGGCAACCCUGGCGACGAGCGGCGGACGGGUGAGUAACGCUUAGGAAUCUUCCCAGUAGUGGGGAACAACCCGGGGAAACUCGGGCUAAUACCGCAUACGCCCUUCGGGGGAAAGCGGGGGACCGUAAGGCCUCGCGCUAUUGGAUGAGCCUAAGUCGGAUUAGCUAGUUGGUAGGGUAACGGCCUACCAAGGCGACAAUCCGUAGCUGGUCUGAGAGGACGACCAGCCACACUGGGACUGCGACACGGCCCAGACUCCUACGGGAGGCAGCAGUGGGGAAUAUUGGACAAUGGGGGAAACCCUGAUCCAGCGACGCCGCGUGUGUGAAGAAGGCCUGCGGGUUGUAAAGCACUUUUAGUGGGGAUGAAAAGCACCGGGCUAAUACCUUGGUGUCUUGACCUAACCCAAAGAAAAAGCACCGGCUAACUCUGU